CGCUGGAAUGCAUCGAGAUUUAAAGCUCCGGCGCCUAAGGAUGGGUCUGCGGCCUAUCAGGUAGUAGUGGGUGUAGCGUACCUACUAGCCUACGACGGGUACGGGUUGUGAGAGCAAGAGCCCGGAGAUGGAUUCUGAGACACGAAUCCAGGCCCUACGGGGUGCAGCAGGCGCGAAAACUUUACAAUGCUGGCAACAGCGAUAAGGGAACCUCGAGUGCCAGGUUACAAAUCUGGCUGUCGAGAUGCCUAAAAAGCAUUUCAUAGCAAGGGCCGGGCAAGACCGGUGCCAGCCGCCGCGGUAACACCGGCGGCUCGAGUGGUAACCGUUAUUAUUGGGUCUAAAGGGUCUGUAGCCGGCCGGAUAAGUCUCUUGAGAAAUCUGGCAGCUUAACUGUCAGGCUUUCAGGAGAUACUGUCUGGCUCGAGGCC
rnacentral:rRNA from 1 species